UACGUAGGGGGCGAGCGUUGUCCGAAGUUACUGGGCGUAAAGCGCGCGUAGGCGGCCACUUAAGUCUGGGGUGAAAGGUUCAGCGCUCAACGCGAACAGUGCCUUGGAUACUGGGUGGCUUGAGUCUGGGAGAGGGUAGUGGAAUUCCUGGUGUAGCGGUGAAAUGCGCAGAUAUCAGGAAGAACACCCGUGGCUAAGGCGGCUCUCUAGUACGGUACUGACGCUGAGACGCGAAAGCGUGGGGAGCGAACAGG
rnacentral:rRNA from 1 species